CUUAAGCCUAUGUCUCUUGGUUUACUCCCUCAUUUUGCUGAAGUGCAUCCUUCAACAACUUUCCAACAAAGGAUGACUGGGAGAGAUGGAGUCUCACCAUGUUGUUGUCCAGGCUGGUCUCAAACUCCUAGGCUCAAGAGAUCUUCCCACCCUGGCCUCCCAAAGUGUUGGGAUUACAGGCAUGAGCCACUGCACCUGGCCCCCAACUUCUCGAAUAAAAUGAAACUAUGA